rnacentral:rRNA from 1 species
GAUGAACGCUGGCGGCGUGCUUAACACAUGCAAGUCGAACGGGAAACAUUUUAUUGAAGCUUCGGCGGAUUUAGCUUGUUUCUAGUGGCGGACGGGUGAGUAACGCGUGGGUAACCUGCCUUAUACCGGGGGAUAACAGCCAGAAAUGGCUGCUAAUACCGCAUAAGCUCACGUAGCCGCAUGGCUCUGUGUGAAAAACUCCGGUGGUAUAAGAUGGACCCGGGUUGGAUUGGCUAGUUGGCAGGGCAGCGGCCUACCAAGGCGACGAUCCAUAGCCGGCCUGAGAGGGUGAACGGCCACAUUGGGACUGAGACACGGCCCAGACUCCUACGGGAGGCAGCAGUGGGGAAUAUUGCACAAUGGGGGAAACCCUGAUGCAGCGACGCCGCGUGAAGGAAGAAGUAUCUCGGUAUGUAAACUUCUAUCAGCAGGGAAGAUAAUGACGGUACCUGACUAAGAAGCCCCGGCUAACUACGUGCCAGCAGCCGCCGUAA